CACAUAAAACAUUAAAUCUUAAUUUUUAAUCAAUCACACAAAUUGAAAAUUUAAAUACAAAAUACAAAUUAAAAGUUUUAAAUUAUGAUAUCAAAUUAUUUAAAGUUUAAAUAAUUUUACAAUAAUUAUAAAUAAAAAGGAAGAUAAUUUGUACUGGUUUUUUCUGAGCCAUUGAUUGAUUUUUAAAUCAAAGGUCCAAAAUUAAUCUCAUAUCUAUCUUUACCUUUGUUUUCUAUUGGUUUGGCGUGGAUCACCAUCUGCACCGUUAUAUCAUACCGAAUCAACGCUUGAGAUUUGUUUUCUUUUUUUUUCCAAUUAUUUUCUGAGAACAGAUCGUGUGAGAGAGAAAGACGCGAUUUGAGUAAAAAAAAAAGAGAAAGAGAGAGAGGCUCGACGCCCUAACAAACCUCGGCCUCCUUCUCUUCUUCUUCCUCGUCGGCCUCGAGAUUGAUCUGAAAUCUCUCCGCCGCACCAGCCAAAAAGUGAUUUCCAUCGCAGCCGCCAGAAUCCUCCUCCCUUUCGCGAUGGGCGUCAUCACCUCAAGUUUCUUCACCGGAAUCUGUAUCUUCACCACCACCACCACAACCCCCACCACCACCAUCGCUCCCAUCCACCAUCGCUUCUCAGAUCCGUCUUCACCGGAGUUGCCACCACCACCGUCACGCUCGUCAUAACCACCACUCAGCUCUCUGUCUCUCACUUUCUGUUUCUUGUUCUCUCUACAUUGAGAAAGAAGCAUGAGGCGCUCACCAGUGGCAGUUCUUUUACCAAAUCUAAAAGCAUUGCUUCAGGUCUGGUGUUUUUGCUGGUAAAUCUGUUGGAGCUUAAGUGAUUGUUGUUAUUUCUCUGCCUAAACAGACGCAUUUUUGCGUUGCGCGUUUCCAGGGAUAGAGAACAGUUUAUCAAAGGAUUUGGCUGUGGCUCUAAAUGACUCAGAAUCCCCUAGGUUUAUACAUUAACCCUUAUUUCUAUAAUUGAGAAGCAAAGCUCGAUGCUUUUGGUGUAUGUGUUGAAACUUCUUCUUGUGGUACAGUGGUGAAUUUUUUAAGCCUAGGUUAUCUGACAAGGCGAAGCUUCAUGGAGAGCUUGAUACUGGAAGAAGACAGAGGCUAAGUCCUUUGGUGCUUUCUUAUACCUUUGGUGAUACUGGAAGAAGACAGAUGGAGUUGGUUCAGAAGCUAGGGAAGAGAGAUAGAUGAGAAGCUUGAGGGUGGUGGAAGAGCAGAGAUGUUAAGGAUGAUUAUGAAGGGUUAUUAGUGGUAGAUUGAUAGUAUGUUUGAUAGGUUUUGAUGGUUUGUGUAAAGAGAAAAAUGUUUUAUGGUUUUGUAAACAUGUAAAUAUUUAUUAGUUUUUACAAAUAUUCGAAAUAUAUAUUACAUUAAAAAUCAAUUCAUAAUUAUUUUUAAUAAA